rnacentral:rRNA from 1 species
AACGAACGCUGGCGGCAGGCCUAACACAUGCAAGUCGAGCGAAGCCUUCGGGCUUAGCGGCGGACGGGUGAGUAACGCGUGGGAACGUGCCCUUUGGUACGGAAUAGCCCCGGGAAACUGGGAGUAAUACCGUAUGUGGUCGAGAGACGAAAGAUUUAUCGCCAAAGGAUCGGCCCGCGUUGGAUUAGGUAGUUGGUGGGGUAAUGGCCUACCAAGCCGACGUUCCAUAGCUGGUUUGAGAGGAUGAUCAGCCACACUGGGACUGAGACACGGCCCAGACUCCUACGGGAGGCAGCAGUGGGGAAUCUUGGACAAUGGGGGAAACCCUGAUCUAGACAUGCCGCGUGAUCGAUGAAGGCCUUAGGGUUGUAAAGAUCUUUCAGUGGGGAAGAUAAUGACUGUACCCACAGAAGAAGCCCCGGCUAACUCCGUGCCAGCCGCCGCGGUAACAC